rnacentral:rRNA from 1 species
UACGUAGGGUGCGAGCGUUGCCCGGAUUUAUUGGGCGUAAAGGGCGCGUAGGCGGCCACGUGCGUCCGUUGUGAAAUCGCCCGGCUCAACUGGGCGGGGUCAGCGGAUACGGCGUGGCUGGAGCAAGCUAGGGGGCAAUGGAAUUCCCGGUGUAGUGGUGGAAUGCGUAGAUAUCGGGAGGAACACCGGUGGCGAAGGCGGCGACCUGGGUAGAUACUGACGCUGAGGUGCGAAAGCGUGGGGAGCAAACAGG